GAGACCUCAGGUCAGGCGGGGCUACCCGCUGAGUUUAAGCAUAUCAUAAACGGGGAAAAAA
rnacentral:rRNA from 1 species